UACGUAGGGUGCGAGCGUUGUCCGGAAUUAUUGGGCGUAAAGAGCUUGUAGGCGGUUUGUCGCGUCUGCCGUGAAAGCCCAGGGCUUAACCCUGGGUCUGCGGUGGGUACGGGCAGACUAGAGUGUGGUAGGGGAGACUGGAAUUCCUGGUGUAGCGGUGAAAUGCGCAGAUAUCAGGAGGAACACCGAUGGCGAAGGCAGGUCUCUGGGCAUUAACUGACGCUGAGGAGCGAAAGCGUGGGGAGCGAACAGG
rnacentral:rRNA from 1 species